rnacentral:lncRNA from 1 species
UAGGUUGGUCAAGACUUGAAAUUGGAGAGUAAAAUUUUGACAAAACCGAGGCCAAUAGUGGACUGCCACAUCACUAAAUUACUGUUCACACAACAUUUUGAGUUCAACUUUUAGAUUUCUUAGUUUCAUUUUAUUGUUUCUUAGUUUCGUUUGUUGGUUUGAACACUAAUUGAUGACCUAGUAAUCUCCUACUAGCUUGUUAGUUAGUUUUUGUGCCCGUUU